CUGACGGAGCACGCCGCGUGAGUGAUGAAGGCUUUCGGGUCGUAAAACUCUGUUGUUAGGGAAGAACAAGUGCUAGUUGAAUAAGCUGGCACCUUGACGGUACCUAACCAGAAAGCCACGGCUAACUACGUGCCAGCAGCCGCGGUAAUACGUAGGUGGCAAGCGUUAUCCGGAAUUAUUGGGCGUAAAGCGCGCGCAGGUGGUUUCUUAAGUCUGAUGUGAAAGCCCACGGCUCAACCGUGGAGGGUCAUUGGAAACUGGGAGACUUGAGUGCAGAAGAGGAAAGUGGAAUUCCAUGUGUAGCGGUGAAAUGCGUAGAGAUAUGGAGGAACACCAGUGGCGAAGGCGACUUUCUGGUCUGUAACUGACACUGAGGCGCGAAAGCGUGGGGAGCAAACAGGAUUAGAUACCCUGGUAGUCCACGCCGUAAACGAUGAGUGCUAAGUGUUAGAGGGUUUCCGCCCUUUAGUGCUGAAGUUAACGCAUUAAGCACUCCGCCUGGGGAGUACGGCCGCAAGGCUGAAACUCAAAGGNUUUGGCCGGGGAA
rnacentral:rRNA from 1 species